AUUCGAUCGUAACCGGAAUCUUGACAGAAAUCGAGGAACUUUUCGCCGAAUUUCUCCAACAGAAGAUUGGCUGGCACCUCUGCUCAUUUGUGACUUACUGAGGACACGUUCUGCUGCUCCAACGAUGUUAUAAGUCACCUCAUCCUCGUAGAUUUGCCGGACGAGGAAAUGCCCUUCCAUGUUGACUUCGGCCUCUUUCCUUUCAUUUCCCAACGACAAUAAGAAAUGGACAUCCUUUCCUGAUUAGAUGAUGGAAAUA